GGUGUUGGAGGAAGCACUGAGGGCCCCUCGCUGCUCCCAUCAUGACAUCUGCUCUCAUGAUCCUCUUCCUUGGCUGCUGGCUGGCCGGGCAGAGCAGGGUGUCGGGAGGGGGAACCAACCUGACUCAGCCGGGAACGGCGCCGGCUCCCACCCGCCCAGGCAGCGCGGGGCCAGGUACCGAGUCUGGGGGCACGAAAUCACCAUCAACCCCCCCAG